rnacentral:rRNA from 1 species
AACUCGCCUGCAUGAAGCUGGAAUUGCUAGUAAUCGCGGAUCAGCAAGCCGCGGUGAAUACGUUCCCGGGCCUUGUACACACCGCCCGUCAUACCAUGAGAGUCGGGAACACCCGAAGUCCGUAGUCUAACCGCAAGGGGGGCGCGGCCGAAGGUGGGUCCGGUAAUUGGGGUGAAGUCGUAACAAGGUACC